rnacentral:rRNA from 1 species
GUUCUCAGUUCGGAUCGGAGUCUGCAACCCGACUCCGUGAAGCUGGAUUCGCUAGUAAUCGCGCAUCAGCCAUGGCGCGGUGAAUACGUUCCCGGGCCUUGUACACACCGCCCGUCACACCAUGGGAGUCGGAAAUGCCCGAAGUCGGUGACCCAACCGAAAGGAGGGAGCCGCCGAAGGCAGGUCUGAUAACUGGGGUGAAGUCGUAACAAGGUAGC